AGCGAACGCUGGCGGCAGGCCUAACACAUGCAAGUCGAACGAACUCUUCGGAGUUAGUGGCGGACGGGUGAGUAACACGUGGGAACGUGCCUUUUGGUUCGGAAUAACUCAGGGAAACUUGUGCUAAUACCGAAUGUGCCCUUCGGGGGAAAGAUUUAUCGCCAUUAGAGCGGCCCGCGUCUGAUUAGCUAGUUGGUGAGGUAACGGCUCACCAAGGCGACAAUCAGUAGCUGGUCUGAGAGGAUGACCAGCCACACUGGGACUGAGACACGGCCCAGACUCCUACGGGAGGCAGCAGUGGGGAAUCUUGCGCAAUGGGCGAAAGCCUGACGCAGCCAUGCCGCGUGAAUGAUGAAGGUCAUAGGAUUGUAAAAUUCUUUCACCGGGGACGAUAAUGACGGUACCCGGAGAAGAAGCCCCGGCUAACUUCGUG
rnacentral:rRNA from 1 species